UGAUAAACGAUUGAUUUGCGCCAGUAUC
rnacentral:sRNA from 1 species